CGCAAUAUAGCUUAAACAAAGCAUCUCGCUUACACCGAGGAUACACCCGUGAAAACCUGGUUAUUUCGA
rnacentral:tRNA from 1 species